rnacentral:rRNA from 1 species
AUUGAACGCUGGCGGCAGGCCUAACACAUGCAAGUCGAGCGGAUGAAGGGAGCUUGCUCCUGGAUUCAGCGGCGGACGGGUGAGUAAUGCCUAGGAAUCUGCCUGGUAGUGGGGGAUAACGUCCGGAAACGGGCGCUAAUACCGCAUACGGCCUGAGGGAGAAAGGGGGGGAUCUUCGGACCUCACGCUAUCAGAUGAGCCUAGGUCGGAUUAGCUAGUUGGUGGGGUAAAGGCCUACCAAGGCGACGAUCCGUAACUGGUCUGAGAGGAUGAUCAGUCACACUGGAACUGAGACACGGUCCAGACUCCUACGGGAGGCAGCAGUGGGGAAUAUUGGACAAUGGGCGAAAGCCUGAUCCAGCCAUGCCGCGUGUGUGAAGAAGGUCUUCGGAUUGUAAAGCACUUUAAGUUGGGAGGAAGGGCAGUAAGUUAAUACCUUGCUGUUUUGACGUUACCAACAGAAUAAGCACCGGCUAACUUCGUG